AGCUGUGUACGUACAACAUUUUUAUUGGUCAAGAUGAACAGUUUUGUCUGAUGCGUACUUUGGAGAUUGGUUUGGUUGCUCAUUCCGCGACGUUAUGCGUAUCCUGUCUCACCAUAUGUAUGUUAGAAAUGCCUUGCCAGUUAUGGCAAGACUGCUCCCAACAUAUCUGGAAAAGUUUACUAAACUUUCGCCAACGCCUCAAGUUGUCAUACCACUGUUAGAAUUGCUUCCUGAUGAUGGAGAUUUGGAUAAAUAGAUAAUCGCAUAUAUAAAAGACUUGGUCUUGAAGCUAGAGGAAGAAUUGCAUACUGUAACAUCUUCAUCGUCCAAAUAAUUACACAUCCCGGCAGUUACAUUUUCGAACUUCUGGUCAAAGUACGAAAUCACUCGAGAAAGUGAUUUCAUUGUCCGUUGCAAAUCAAAUUGGUGG